rnacentral:rRNA from 1 species
CUACGGGGCUAUAAUGCAGUCGAGCGGAGUAUCCUGAUGAGCUUGCUCUGAUGGAUGCUUAGCGGCGGACGGGUGUGUAACACGUGUGUAACCUGCCUGCAAGACCGGGAUAACAUUCGGAAACGAAUGCUAAGACCGGAUAUUCAAGCCUGAGGCAUCUCGGGCUUGGGAAACACGGGGGAACCUGUGGGUUGCGGAUGGGCCUGCGGCGCAUUAUCUAUUUGGGGGGGUAACGGCCUACCCAGGCGACAAUGCGUAUCCCACCUGAGAGGGUGAACGGCCACACUGGGACUGAGACACGGCCCACACUCCUACGGGAGGCAGCACUAGGGAAUCUUCCACAAUGGGCGAAAGCCUGAUGGAGCAACGCCCCGUGAGUGAGGAAAGCCUUCUGGUCUUAAAGCUCUGUUGCCAGGGAAGAAUAAGGGGGAGUUAACUGCUCAUCCCAUGACAGUACCUGAGAAAAAAGCCCCGGCUAACUACGUGCCACCAGCCGCGGUAAUACAUAUGGGGCAAGCGUUGUCCGGAAUUAUUGGGCGUAAAGCGCGCGCACGCGGUUCUUUAAGUCUGGUGUCUAAGUGCGGGGCUCAACCCCGUGACACACUGUAAACUGGGGGACUUGAGUGCGCAAAAGGAGAGCGCAAUUCCCCGUGUAUCGCUGAAAUGCGUAUAGAUGUGUAGGAACACCAGUGUCGAAAGCGGCUCUCUGGACUGUGACUGACGCUGAGACGCGAAAGCGUGUGGAGCACACAGGAUUAUAUACCCCUGGUGAGUACCACGCCGUAAACGAUGAGUGCUGAUGUGUUGUUGGGGGGGUCCACCCCCUCCUCUGCCGCAAGAUUAACACAUUAAUACACCUCCUGCCCUGGGGGAGUAGCAGGUCGUCACGACUGCAGACUCUCAGGAAGUUGUCGAGGGGACCACGCCACAAGCAGCUGGGAGUAUUGUGGGUUUUAAUUUCUAAGCAAACGCGCAGGAAACCUCUACUCACCGGUGUUCGACAUCCCCUUCCUGCAAUAACGCUAGUAGAAUAAUCGUAUGAGCGCUUCCUCGACAGCAAGGAGAACAGGGUGGGUGGCAUCGGGUUGUUCGUCCAGCCUCCUCGUCGUGAGAAGAUUGGGGUUAAAAUCCCGCCACAAGAGCGCAAGCCUUGAAAUAUAAAUGUCGCAGCACACACUUCUGGUGGAACUCUUGAAUGAAUCGGUCGCGGUGACAAAGCUCAUGGA